rnacentral:rRNA from 1 species
UGGGGAAUAUUGCACAAUGGGCGCAAGCCUGAUGCAGCCAUGCCGCGUGUAUGAAGAAGGCCUUCGGGUUGUAAAGUACUUUCAGUCGGGAGGAAGGUGUCAAGGUUAAUAACCUUGGCAAUUGACGUUACCGACAGAAGAAGCACCGGCUAACUCCGUGCCAGCAGCCGCGGUAAUACAGAGGGUGCAAGCGUUAAUCGGAAUUACUGGGCGUAAAGCGCACGCAGGCGGUUGAUUGAGUCAGAUGUGAAAUCCCCGGGCUUAACCCGGGAAUUGCAUCUGAUACUGGUCAGCUAGAGUCUUGUAGAGGGGGGUAGAAUUCCAUGUGUAGCGGUGAAAUGCGUAGAGAUGUGGAGGAAUACCGGUGGCGAAGGCGGCCCCCUGGACAAAGACUGACGCUCAGGUGCGAAAGCGUGGGGAGCAAACAGG